rnacentral:rRNA from 1 species
GAUGAACGCUGGCGGCGUGCCUAAUACAUGCAAGUCGAGCGAACAGACGAGGAGCUUGCUCCUCUGACGUUAGCGGCGGACGGGUGAGUAACACGUGGAUAACCUACCUAUAAGACUGGGAUAACUUCGGGAAACCGGAGCUAAUACCGGAUAAUAUAUUGAACCGCAUGGUUCAAUAGUGAAAGACGGUUUUGCUGUCACUUAUAGAUGGAUCCGCGCCGCAUUAGCUAGUUGGUAAGGUAACGGCUUACCAAGGCGACGAUGCGUAGCCGACCUGAGAGGGUGAUCGGCCACACUGGAACUGAGACAGGGUCCAGACUCCUACGGGAGGCAGCAGUAGGGAAUCUUCCGGAAUGGGCGAGAGCCUGACGGGGCAACGCCGCGUGAGUGAUGAAGGUCUUCGGAUCGUAAAACUCUGUUAUUAGGGAAGAACAAAUGUGUAAGUAACUAUGCACGUCUUGACGGUACCUAAUCAGAAAGCCACGGCUAACUACGUG